GACGAACCGUGCGAACGUUAUUCGGAAUCACUGGGCUUAAAGCGCGUGUAGGCGGGACGGCACGUCGGUCGCUGAAAUCCCCCGGCUCAACCGGGGAACGGGCGCCGAUACGACCGCCCUGGAGGGACGUAGGGGGACCUGGAACUUCCGGUGGAGCGGUGAAAUGCGUUGAGAUCGGAAGGAACGCCCGUGGCGAAAGCGGCUACCUGGACCAGCACUGACACUGAAGCACGAAAGCGUGGGGAGCAAACAGG
rnacentral:rRNA from 1 species